rnacentral:lncRNA from 1 species
CUCCAAUAGGAUAUUACUAUAUAGAAUUGUUAAUUGUUUUUUCCAUAAUAGAGGGUCUGAAUGCGGGGGAGGGGAUUGGGUUUAAUUCAUUUUAUAUUCUAUUUUUUUUCUAUUCUUUUUUCAUUUUCCCAAUUAUUUUCUAUUCUAAUUAUGUCUUUUUUCUAUUAUUCUUUAUUUUCUUUAUCCAGCACUUUUUAACCAGUAACACCUAUUCUGUAAACACCAUUCUGACACUCGUACAAUGUACAUGUAAUAGUCAUUUAAGAAAAUAACUUUAAAUUGGAAAUGAAUAAAAGACUACUUUUGGACCAUACAUGUACCUGGAAAGGGUUGCAUGUCGUCAUAGAAAUGUAGUUUUGUGGUAAUCAUUUUUGUAUCUGUUGGGGAGCGAGCUUGCUGUGCUGUAUUAAGGUACAUAUAACGUUAUAGUCUUGUCUCACAGCCCAAUACAAUAUGACAAUGAAAGGCACUACACGUAAACAGAAAUGCCAAUAAAUAAAUCAUC